UUUUUUUUUUUUUUUAAGAAAAGAAUUAAAACAAUGGUUGCCACUGAUCUUCACUUAGGUCUGGGAGUCGGCAUUGAGACAACAGUUACUGAAUUAUAAGACUAUGUAUGAGCUGUGGCUAUGGCUCGGUCAGUUAAGUGUUUUUAGUGCAAGCCUGAGGAGCUGAGCGCUGAACCCCUUACUCACAUACAAAUGGAGGUAUGGUGGCAGAGGCCUGUAUUCUCCAUGCUGGAGAUGUGGAGACAGGAAGCUCCCAGGAGCUUGCUGGUGAAUCAAUUCUAUCUAGGCUCAGUGAGAGAGAGUGUCCAAAAGUAAGACAGAGAGAGCUCAAGGAGCAGACCCAGAGCUUACGUGCUCACGCUUUGUUAGUCUUUCCAGAGGACUUAAAGUCUUUAAUCCAAGCACGCCGCUUCUUUUCCUUUUCCUUUCAUUUACUUUAAAGUGGGGGCAUUUGUUGAGAUGCCAUAGGGCAGGGAGUAAGAGAAAGCUGGAAUUACACUGAGGUCAUUUUGGGUCUAUUACACAUGGGAGCCAACCAGAAGGACUGUUUAUAGCAGGUAAUGGCUAUCCAGGAAGAUAAAAAAGAGGGCAUGACGUAGGCAACAUGGCAGAGAGUAACCACUGAGCUAGUAGGAAAUUCAGAGGACAUCCUGCAUAAAGAUGACUCCUAACAAGGUUUUGCUUGGUUUUAUGACAAGUAAUAAAAUAGUGAAUGCUAAUUUUUGUCUGUUUCUCAGACUCUGACCAGGGAUAAUAGGUUUUGUUUCCAUUCUUAACGAUCACACUUGCCUUUCUUUUUCUGUUCAUGAAUAUUCACGCUGAGAUUCCUUACCACCAUGCCUCUAACUGUACCUGUCUCUCUAGAUCAGUCUGCUAAAGAUUCAAGAGCUGUAAGCAGCUGCUGGAAGGAAGUGGGUUCUGGUCUGUGGCACAGGCGCAUUGACACACGCACAGGGAGGUGGAGAUGGGGCCCAAAGGAAAGGGCAAAACCUGGUGAGGUCUGAGAGCAGGCAAGAUCUGCACCCAUUUCAGGGAAGGAGAAACUCCUGUAUUUUCCUUAAAAGAUAGUGAAAUUAGGGCACCUGGAAUUGUAGGGGAGGAAAAUGUUACUAUGUGGCGGAAAGUAUAUUUGGUUUGGGAAUGAACUGAGUUUUGGUUCAAUUUUCUCUAAUUCCAAUUUCAUCUGUAAAAUGUGGGAUACUACCAGCAGAUCCUUGCUUCAGGCUCCUUGGGGGUUAGAAAGGAUUAGUCAAAUGCAAAUGAUCUACCCAGCUCCUGAGUGGAUGAAGUGUCUUCCUCUAUUCCUCUAGCAUGUGUGUGCAGAGGACAUGAGAGACAACAUUAAGCAGUGCGCUGCAGACUUCAUCCCGAUCUUAUUAUUUAUUGUUUGGUUGGGAAAGUUUUCAAAACUUGCUCAACCAUAGUUAUUUCAUAGUUUCCACAGGGACGAUAUGGCAGCAACUUUAUAGACCUCACUCGAAGAAGAAACAAGCUAGUUUAUAUAGAGUGCUUGUAGAAUAUGUGGUUUGGAGUACGUGCUUUUAAUGACCACUACUGAUGUCAAAUGGUUAAUAGAGCUUGCGGCUCUUGCAGAGACACUUUAUUGGGUUCCAAACAUGCAUAUCAAGUGGUCUACAGUCAGUGUCCUGUAACUCUUCUUCCACAGUAUAGAUACUGUGUUGUCUUCUGCCUCUGAGAGUACCUGCCCACAUGCACACAUGUAUACAUACAGACAUAUAUUUAGGCACACAUACACAUAAGAUAAAUGGAAAUGAUUAAAAAUAGCACUUUUAAAAUUAAAUCUCUCUCUGUCUCUGUGUGUGUGUCUAGAGGUCAGUGGUCAAUGUCUGGUAUCUUCUUUAAUUGCUCUCUACCUUACUUUUGAGACAAUCUUUGACUGAACCUGGAGCUAGCUGACUGUCUAGACUGUCCAGCCAGUAAGUCUUCGAGACCUUCCUGUUUCAGCAUCCCCAGAGCCAAGGGAUUGAUGAUAAGCCCUUGCCUGAUCUUUCCAUGUGGAUGUUGGAGAUCAAACUGCUCCUCAUAUUCUCCAGGCAGACACUUCACCAACUGAACCAUCUCUCAAACCCCUGUGAUGACUUUUAGCAGGAAUGGAGUGGUGAAGGACUGAGGAGAGACCAAAAGAGAAUAAGACGCGUUAGCACCUCAGCAAAUGCUGCUGAUUUGAGACUCAAGAGCCCGAUGAGCAAGAGAAGGAUUUACACGGGAAAUGGAGUUUUCAUAUUCCCGUGUGCACGAGUCACCCAGUGAACCAGAACUCAGUUUCUUGUUUGAUUUAGUCUGGAGGGACCCAGAGAUGCUGCCACCAGUAACAAGAUCUCAGGCAGCACAGAUAGACGACGCCAUGGAUCGUACAGGCAAUGGACGGAUGGGAUUUGACGACUCACUCAGUGGUCAUGAGUGAAAAGAGGCACAAAGUGUUUGUUUGUUUUGUUGUUUUGUUGUUUUUUUUUUUCAAGGAACUAAAUCAGGAAGAAAAAUAAUGAGUUUGCCUGCCCGGGUUUCAUUUUCUGAACUGGGCAUUAUGGGAUGUAGAAGAGCAUAAUGAUAAGAGGUUAGAUUCAUUUCAGAAGAUCACAGCUUUUGUACAAUUACUAGAAAGAUGACUCUGGAGUUUAGCUUUUGCUCUCCAGUCUUUAAAUGAGAAGCUACAGAGGCUAGGCCACAAGACUGCUGCAGAGAUUAAUGGAGAUACUUUGUUGGGAAUAAAAAUCCUCUCUUUUGCAGGGCAGUGGUGGCACACCCCUUUAAUCCCAGCAUUUGGGAGGCAGAGGUAGGUGGAUUUCUGAGUUUGGUCUACAGAGUGAGUUCCAGAACAGUCAGGGCUAUAAGAGAAACCCUGUCUCAGAAAAAAAAAAUCCUCUCUGUAGAUCUCACAGAACGUAAAGAGUACCACAGCUCUUGGUGAGGCCCAUGUGGGAUUUUUUUUAUAUACGACUUUUCUCUCAGGGUGCACUGAUACCUCAGACGAUUCUGUAUUUUGACAGCCUUCUGAACUUUGUGUUUUCUAAUUAUUCAUUAGCUGACAUAAUUUCAGGGGACUUGAGAGCCAGAAUUGGCAGCAGUUCCACUAGGGCAGCCUCCAUUAGGAAACUGCAAUAGUUAGAUUCUUCCUUUUAAGGUACUUCUCCAGGAACGACCAUCUGAAUUAAAGAGGGAAAUAUCUGGUCAAGCUCACUUAUAAUCACAGUCUAAUGAAGGCAAAUGGCAGGCUGGGGGACAACCUCUGAGCUCUCCCUUACAUUUUCAACCAGUGGCAGCAUCCAGCUGAUUUGUAGAAUUAGCUCUUCGGAGCUUACCUUCAUCUUUGUGUUGAAUAUAAACUGACUGGUUGAGAGUAAACAUUUUCCCUUAAGCUUGAUCUGAACUUUCAAAAUUGUCCUUGCCUCUGUCCCCAGUGUAACUUUCUGGUGUAUAUGUGGUGUUGGGGAUUGAACCCAAAGGCCCCACACACGCCAGGCAAGGGCUCAAUCACUGAACUACACUCUCCCCCACAUCUGCCCCUGUAUGUAAUUAAGUCUGUGAGAUUUUAGAGAUAAGGUUAAACUGAAAGGAACACAUUUAUUACCUACAAAAAUUUAUGGAAACAUAUUUUAUUCUGAAGGCUUCACUAAUAACUCUUUACAGUCCUAACAAAUGGUGAUUAUACUACCAUGCCGCUGGACUAUCCAAGAACAACCUUUUAUCUCUUGCUUCAUAAAAGAGAUCAGAAAGCAACAAAAAUAAAUAAAUAAAUCCCAGGCCAUAUUAUCAAGAUGUUAUCCCAGAUACAACAGAGAUCAAGACAUCUAAGGACUCAUUAAGUUAUAACUGUUUCAAAAAAACAACUCAUCUUUUCCCAAAAUUAAAUUACAUAAAAUAUUA